ACCCUCAUCCUUAGUUACCAUCAGGUAAUGCUGGGGUCUUUAAGGAAACUGCCAGUGAUAAACUGGAGGAAGGUGGGGAUGAUGUCAAGUCAUCAUGGCCCUUAUGGAGUGGGCUACACACGUGCUACAAUGGUGGCUACAUUGGGCUGCAAAGUCGCGAGGCUAAGCCAAUCCCUUAAAAGCCAUCUCAGUUCGGAUUGUACUCUGCAACUCGAGUGCAU
rnacentral:rRNA from 1 species